rnacentral:lncRNA from 1 species
CAGAACUAAAUAGGCCUCCCACACUUUCUUCUAUCUGGGUCUGGUAACUCCUCCUCUUGGUAGCUAACGGCAAGGCCUCUGGACAUUCAACUGGGUUGGGAGUGGCAGGGGGCUCCAUGCAGGUAGGAGAAAUCAAGUAGGCAAAGAAAGAUACAGGAGCAGCAAGAGCCUCUAUCCAGAGUGGUCAGAAGGUGCAGACUUCUUGCCCAGAAAGGACAUGAAAACCUGUCCAAGAACCAGGCCCGGUUCCUUGCCUGCUCUCCCCAGCACUUGGAGGGCUCCACGGUUGGCCGCAGCUGUAUCACUCACAGCAGAUUUUACAAGCCUGUCCUUCUGCCAGGGCCCUUUCAGAAGUGAAAAUAGCUGGAAUCAGCCUGCUUUCCCUAAACCAUGAAAACAUCUCACUGUACCUCAAGCUGCGACUUAGUGCUGUGUCAGCCCACACCCCAGCACACUUCCUGGAGGAACCCGUCCGAGCAACCUCAGGAGGGUGCACUGAGGACCCGUUCUGCACACGUUUAAACGCAGGGUCGGAUUUUAAACAGGAUAUCCAGCCGGAGACGAAGGUAACUGUUGUCUUGGUCACUGCUAAGAAGCACCUGAUCGUGCAAGACAUACCGCUCAUGAGAAAGAAAUGUUUUCAACUCUUUGUGGCACCCUGCUGGGACAGGCUCUGCCUGGUCAUUCCAUCCCAGGGGUGAUUAACCAUCCCAGUGUUAGGGCCUGGGACUUUGCUAAUGUGCUUUCAGGUCAACCACAAACAUAUUUCUAAGAUUUCUUAGCUAAUGGUGCAUUUGCGAGGUCAUUCCAGGCUAAGACCAGGAGGAUUAAAAGAUCUGAUUCCUUCCUGAGGCUCUUAGUUGUAAAGGACCAAAGAAGCCGUAAAACAAAGAUUUAUUCAGUUUCAGCCGGCCAGUUCAAUGGCGCAGCCCCGUAAGACCAGGAAAAAAGAAACAUCUGGCCAGAAAAGUACACUUGUUUACAAAAAAAAAAAAAAAAAAAA